GGCCAACCUGGUGUAAUGGUUUGAGCGUUGGAUUUGGACUCUGGAGACCAGGGUUCGAAUCUCCGCUCGGCCA